GAGGGGACCUCAUAAUAACCGAUUACUCACCCUCCAGGGUCUCACACUGCACCAGGUUCAGGUAGUCUCCCUGUGUCAGGAUCCCGGCCUUGAACCCGCGGACCAGCCCCUCCAAGUAACCGCUGUCAACAUUGAAGUAGAGCUCAGAGAAGGACGUCAUGGCGAUGGCGGGGGCGGCGGAGCAGGAGCGAUCGGUACCCGUUCACAAGCAGCAGAAGGAUGGCUGACGUCACCACCGCGAAGUGAACGGGAGGAGUCACGUGAGCAGAGCGCCGCCUGUCACAUGACGAACCUGCUGUCAUGGUGGAGGAAGUGAGAUCACAAUGGGCCUAUCAGCGUCUUUUCUGCGUCGUGACGUCAUGACGAGGAGCCUAUCAGCGUUACUGACUGGAAUGAGGCUUGAGACGCAGGAGAGAGAAAGCUGCUUUUUAUCCUGAGUCAGACUUUCCCCUCUGCUGCAGAGGAAUUGAUGCCAAACUGAAUCAAUUGAAGACCUCCCAGAUAAGAGAUCAAGAUGAAAUUGGGACUUUUUUUUUAUUACUGUGGACUCAUCUGUCUGGAUUAAAGCAUUUGCACAUAAUCCUUUUAUUUUCCUGUGCCAAGUGCCAAAGAUACGUUCCCAAGACCCUGAAGUUCUCUCUACCCCUCCUUUACAUGUUCCAGGUUAAUUAACAGUCAAGUCCUGGACAGACCAGGGUCAAAUAGGACUACAUUGAGCCCCCUAGAGAUGAUGGAAGUCAACCAUCAAACUAUACAAAACUGCUGGAUGUACCUUUAUUUGAAUCAUAAACUUUGCUGGACAUAAUAGGCCUUGU